rnacentral:rRNA from 1 species
AUUAGAUACCCUGGUAGUCCACACGGUAAACGAUGAAUACUCGCUGUUUGCGAUAUACAGCAAGCGGCCAAGCGAAAGCGUUAAGUAUUCCACCUGGGGAGUACGCCGGCAACGGUGAAACUCAUAGGAAUUGACGGGGGCCCGCACAAGCGGAGGAACAUGUGGUUUAAUUCGAUGAUACGCGAGGAACCUUACCCGGGCUUAAAUUGCAUUUGAAUAAUCUGGAAACAGGUUAGCCGCAAGGC